rnacentral:rRNA from 1 species
UACGAAGGGGGCUAGCGUUGCUCGGAAUUACUGGGCGUAAAGGGCGCGUAGGCGGAUGUUUAAGUCAGAGGUGAAAGCCCAGGGCUCAACCUUGGAACUGCCUUUGAUACUGGGCAUCUUGAGUAUGGGAGAGGUGAGUGGAACUCCGAGUGUAGAGGUGAAAUUCGUAGAUAUUCGGAAGAACACCAGUGGCGGAGGCGACUCACUGGCCCAUUACUGGCGCUGAGGCGCGAAAGCGUGGGGAGCAAACAGG